CACUAAGAAGCUAAAUAGGUAUAGCGUUAGCCUUUUAAGCUAGAGAUUGGUGCCUCCUAACCACCCUUAGUGA
rnacentral:tRNA from 1 species